UUAAUUAUUUAAAAAUACUUCUGACUUUUUAAAAAUAGUGAAAUUUUUGUCUAACGUCCUUUGACCUUGUUUGACCUAGGAUAAAUCCCUUGGCCAUUUAUUUGGUGUUUUGAAGGGAUUUUAGGUUUUGACCAAAUUAAAAUUUAUUUUAAUACAUUUUUAAAUUGAUUAAAUGUUUAAAAAUAUUGUUGAGCCAUUUUUAUGGUCUUAUGAUGUUUAACUUUCU
rnacentral:lncRNA from 1 species